UACGAGUGCCUCGAGCGUUAUCCGGAAUUAUUGGGCGUAAAGGGUGCGUAGGUGGUUCCGUUAGUCCCAUGUUAAAUUUCCCGGCUCAACCGGGAACCUGCACGGGAAACGGCGGAACUAUAGAGGAUGGAAGGGGUUUGCGGAACUCAUGGUGUAGCGGUGAAAUGCGUUGAUAUCAUGGGGAACACCAAAAGCGAAGGCAGCAAACUGGUCCACUCCUGACGCUGAAGCACGAAAGCGUGGGUCGCGAAUGGG
rnacentral:rRNA from 1 species